GAUGAACGCUGGCGGCGUGCCUAAUACAUGCAAGUCGAGCGAACAGACGAGGAGCUUGCUCCUCUGACGUUAGCGGCGGACGGGUGAGUAACACGUGGAUAACCUACCUAUAAGACUGGGAUAACUUCGGGAAACCGGAGCUAAUACCGGAUAAUAUAUUGAACCGCAUGGUUCAAUAGUGAAAGACGGUUUUGCUGUCACUUAUAGAUGGAUCCGCGCCACAUUAGCUAGUUGGUAAGGUAACGGCUUACCAAGGCAACGAGGCGUAGCCGACAUGAGAGGGGGAUAGCCCACAAGGGAACGGAACCACGGUCAAGACGACUAAGGGAGGCGGCAGUAGGGAAUCUUGCGCAAUGGGGGAAAGCCUGACGGAGCAACACCGAGUGAGUGAUGAAGGUCUUGGGAUCGUAAAGCUCUGUUAUUAGGGAAAAACAAAUGUGUAAGUAACUAUGCACGUAUUGACGGUACCUAAUCAGAAAGCCACGGCUAACUACGUG
rnacentral:rRNA from 1 species